rnacentral:rRNA from 1 species
GACGAACGCUGGCGGCGUGCUUAACACAUGCAAGUCGAACGGAAAGGCCCCCUUGUGGGGUACUCGAGUGGCGAACGGGUGAGUAACACGUGAGUAACCUACCCUUGACUUUGGGAUAACUUCAGGAAACUGGGGCUAAUACCGGAUAGGAGCUUCUGCCGCAUGGUGGGGGUCGGAAAGUUUCGGCGGUUGGGGAUGGGCUCGUGGCUUAUCAGCUUGUUGGUGGGGUAGUGGCUCACCAAGGCUUUGACGGGCAGCCGGGCUGAGAGGGUGACCGGCCAAAUUGGGACUGGGAUACGGCACAGACUCCAACGGGACGCAGCAGUGGGGAAUAGUGCACAAUGGGCGGAAGGCUGGUGCAGCAACGCCGCGUGCGGGAUGACGGCCUUCGGGUUGUAAACCGCUUUCGCCUGUGACGAAGCGUGAGUGACGGUAAUGGGUAAAGAAGCACCGGCUAACUACGUG